rnacentral:ncRNA from 1 species
GGUUCUCAGGGCGGGGUGAAAGUCCCCACCGGCGGUAAUCAUGCUUUGCAUGUAGCCCGCGGGCGCUUAUUGAACAUCACCGCGUGAUGCAGCGAUAAGGACAGCAGAUCUGGUGUGAUUCCAGAGCCGACGGUUAGAGUCCGGUUAUGAGAAAA